UAUUUAACAAUGAAUCAAAUGAUAAAAAAGUUAAUAAUUACUUAAAUUUUUCUGAAUAAGACGAAUAGUCAAACAUGUUUAAAAAAGUCAACGGCGUCAAAUAUUUAGGAAUGGAGGGAGUAGUUGAUUACGUCCAAGGUUUGAGUUCAUUCGCAAGUUUUGGUUAAGUUCAAUCGUUCAUCGUUCGAUCGUUUGAUCGUGCAAGGGAAUCAACGGGACGGCGCGGCGGCCAACCUCAACCCCUUGCCCAACCGAGGCUCGGCUCAGCUCGUGGCCAGCCGCGGCGGAGCAAGCGGCGAAGCGGCUGCGAAUGCGCAGAGAGGAGGAUGGCAGUGGCAGUGGCAAGGUGUUGACGGUCAUUACAUACAAAUUUCAACCGUCAAUAUAGCUAAAAUAAUAUAGAAUUAACUAUGCUUGCAAUGCGUAUUUACUUCAGAAUAAUAUAGUUCCACUUGUGCUUAGAGAAUAACAUGUUGUAGGAAUUGAGCAAUAAAAUAAAGAGAAAAUAAAGAAAAUCUCACUCCUAAGCAAGCUUAUGGAUAAGAGGGCCCACAAGUCAGGUGUAACCGGCCUGGAAACCGCUUUAACUGUUAAAACCAUCAAUAGGACCCACCUGUUAGAGAUUGUACCGAAGCUGGAGGCCUGUUGGGCUAGCCUAGGUUCGUCCGAACUAGGAGUUCGCCGGAACCCUGGUGGAGCCCAAUCAGCCUGGCCCUCCACGUGUUCGCGCCAGAUGCACUCUCAAUGAUGGUUAAGGGGCAAGAAGGUCAUUUCACCUUGUCUACAACCGUUAUACCAACCCUAUAAAAGAAGGAGCUCACUUCACUUCUCAACACACUCAACGGCGGCGCAGGUUGGCUCUAAGGACGACGGCGGAAGCAUGCGACGGCGAUGGAUCUGAGGGCGACGCGUCGAGCCUGGCGCCAAGACGGACUCGGGCGAUGUGCGGCGCGCCAGCAGCGACGGCGGGAGUCCGACUCGUCACCACCGUUGAGCUCCGCUUCCUCCCUUCCUUGUCGCCGCCGGCCUCCUCCUCCACCAUCGCUCGACAGCUGGCGACACAGCGGCGCAUUAGCGCGGGUGGAGGCCAGCGAAGCGGCGGCGCACAGGCGGCGGCCGGUGGCGUGUCGGCGCACGGCAGGGGCGGCGGUUGGCGACACGACGGCACGAGCGGAGGCCGGCGACACGAUUGUGCACGGCGGCGGCUGGCGGCGUGGCGGUGGUUGGCGACACGGCGGCGCACGGCAAGCAAGCCCGAUGGCCGCCGAUGAGUACCCGUCGGGCAUGGACACGGGUAUGGGGUUUUGCCCGAUAGGCUUUGCGGGCGUGGGUCGGGCACUGGCACGUGGAUCUCGGGUCGGGCAUGGUUUCGCUCUGCCCGUGCCCGACCCAACCCGUUGCCAUCCCUAAGACUGCUGGAGGCAAGCCAUGCAACUUCCUUUGGUGGGCAUAUCCCUGUGAACUCGGUUCUUCAUUCGAUGUGGACUCUCUUCUCACUGUUGCAUGUGUUGGCUUGUGUUCUGGGGAUGUUUUUGAUGGGCUGGGAGCAGGGGUGCAUGGAUGGUUGUUGGAAUGUUGUUGGGAGGGGUCCCAGGCACUUGAUGGCAGCAACACCCUCACUCGAAUGUGUGUGCCGGCUUGUAAGCAUUCAUCGAACACCUACUGUGCAUGCAUGCUGUGUUGGCUGAGGGACGCAAAGUAAACUUUUGGGCUGAGAAGAAGAGAGGGAGUGGGCUGGCAUGUAGAGGGCGUAAACAUAGACUUGCUGUGAGGAAUGGGCUGGGUUGGAAGAGAGAGGAAUGGCCCAAGUGUAAUAGGAGCUUUUGUAAUUUGCAUGGAUUGGAAUAGGGGUGAUAUAUGUAUUCGAACAUGUACAUGGACGGUAGAAUUGUAAUUGAACUGUUAAAUGGGACAUUUAUCCUGGCUCUGUAUUUAAUUUGGACUUACGAUGGAUUGUACAUUUAUAAAUGGACUGUGUAAUUGUAAUGGGACUGUAUAAUUUGGACAUUUAAUUUGAUUCUGUAUAUUUGACUGUGUGCUUGUAUUGUCAAAUAUGGCCUGUAUACGUGGACAUUUGGAAUUGGAAUUUAAUAUUGAGUUU